rnacentral:rRNA from 1 species
UACGUAGGUGGCAAGCGUUGUCCGGAAUUAUUGGGCGUAAAGCGCGCGCAGGCGGUCCCUUAAGUCUGAUGUGAAAGCCCACGACUCAACCGUGGAGGGUCAUUGGAAACUGGGGGACUUGAGUACAGAAGAGGAAAGCGGAAUUCCACGUGUAGCGGUGAAAUGCGUAGAGAUGUGGAGGAACACCAGUGGCGAAGGCGGCUUUCUGGUCUGUAACUGACGCUGAGGCGCGAAAGCGUGGGGAGCAAACAGG